rnacentral:rRNA from 1 species
GACGAACGCUGGCGGCGUGCUUAACACAUGCAAGUCGAACGGAAAGGCCCUGCUUUUGUGGGUUUCUCGAGUGGCGAACGGGUGAGUAACACGUGAGUAACCUGCCCUUGACUUUGGGAUAACUUCAGGAAACUGGGGCUAAUACCGGAUAGGAUCUUCUGCUGCAUGGUGGGGGUUGGUAAGUUUCGGUGGUUGGGGAUGGACUCGCGGCUUAUCAGCUUGUUGGUGUGGUAGUUGCUUACCAAGUCUUUGACGGGUAGCCGGCCUGAGAGGGUGACCGGCCACAUUGGGACUGAGAGACGGACCAGAAUCCUACGGGACGCAGCAGUGGGGAGUAUUGCACAAUAGGCGGAAGCCUGAUGCAGAGACGCCGCGUGCGUGAUGACGGCCUUCGGGUUGUAAACCGCUUUCGCCUGUGCCGAAGCGUGAGUGACGGUAAUGGGUAAAGAAGCACCGGCUAACUACGUG